rnacentral:rRNA from 1 species
UACGGAGGAUCCAAGCGUUAUCCGGAAGCAUUGGGUUUAAAGGGUCCGUAGGCGGUCUAGUAAGUCAGUGGUGAAAGCCCAUCGCUCAACGGUGGAACGGCCAUUGAUACUGCUGGACUUGAAUUAUUGGGAAGCAACUAGAAUAUGUAGUGUAGCGGUGAAAUGCUUAGAGAUUACAUGGAAUACCAAUUGCGAAGGCAGGUUGCUACCAAUUGAUUGACGCUGAUGGACGAAAGCGUGGGUAGCGAACAGG